AACGAACGCUGGCGGCAUGCCUAAUACAUGCAAGUCGAACGAACACUUCGGUGUUAGUGGCGCACGGGUGCGUAACGCGUGGGAAUCUACCCUUGGGUUCGGAAUAACAGUUAGAAAUGACUGCUAAUACCGGAUGAUGACGUAAGUCCAAAGAUUUAUCGCCCAAGGAUGAGCCCGCGUAAGAUUAGCUAGUUGGUAGGGUAAAGGCCUACCAAGGCUACGAUCUUUAGCUGGUCUGAGAGGAUGAUCAGCCACACUGGGACUGAGACACGGCCCAGACUCCUACGGGAGGCAGCAGUAGGGAAUAUUGGACAAUGGGGGAAACCCUGAUCCAGCAAUGCCGCGUGAGUGAUGAAGGCCUUAGGGUUGUAAAGCUCUUUUACCCGAGAUGAUAAUGACAGUAUCGGGAGAAUAAAGCUCCGGCUAACUCCGUG
rnacentral:rRNA from 1 species